rnacentral:lncRNA from 1 species
UAAGGAUUUGCCUGCAAGUUUCCUGGAAGAGAAGAUUUGUAACCUGGGUUUUGAAAGAUAAGGAGCUGACAGUGGCUGGGGAAGCUGGGAUGAGGUGUAGGGUUGACUGGAGGAUGGCAGAUCAAGCAAAAGAUGAUAUGUAGUUUGGUUUUGCUGACAGCUAUGUAAAGAAUGGAUUUGUGGGAGGAAGAUCAAAAAUAAUGAGUAAUGUGUCAUCUAAGAGAGAACACUGGAAUCCAACAGAGAACUUACAGAAAACACCAGUAGCAAGGAAGGAGAAGGAAGCGAGGAAGUCUGCUCAGCUGGGGUCAUCUGGGAACCUAUAGAGGCUCCCUUAAUGCGGAGAAAGGAGAUGGGCUUUCACCAUGCUGUGUCGGCCAUUACCCAACUCCUGGGCUUAAGUGAUCCACCUGCCUCAGCCUCCCAAAGUGCUGGGAUUACAAGCCUGAGCCACCGCGCCCAGCUGUUAAUCG